rnacentral:rRNA from 1 species
GACGAACGCUGGCGGCGUGCUUAACACAUGCAAGUCGAACGGAAAGGCCCUGCUUUUGUGGGGUGCUCGAGUGGCGAACGGGUGAGUAACACGUGAGUAACCUGCCCUUGACUUUGGGAUAACUUCAGGAAACUGGGGCUAAUAUCGGAUAGGAGCUCCUGCUGCAUGGUGGGGGUUGGAACGUUUCGGCGGUAGGGGUUGGAUUCGCGGCUGACGAGUUUGUUGGUGGGGUAGUGGCUUACCAAGGCUUUGACGGGUAGCCGGCCUGGGAGGGUGACCGGCCACAUUGGGACUGAGAUACGGCCCAGACUCCUACGGGAGGCAGCAGUGGGGAAUAUUGCACAAUGGGCGGAAGCCUGAUGCAGCAACGCCGCGUGCGGGAUGACGGCCUUCGGGUUGUAAACCGCUUUCGCCUGUGACGAAGCGUGAGUGACGGUAAUGGGUAAAGAAGCACCGGCUAACUACGUG